rnacentral:hammerhead_ribozyme from 1 species
GCACUGCCGAAGAGUCCCACAAUAGGACGAAGCGGCCGUUCAGUGC